rnacentral:lncRNA from 1 species
AUUUAAAUUUUUUUGGUAACUAAUUUUAAAUAGUAUUUAUAAAUGUAUAUAUUUUUAUGCAAUAUUUGAUAUUAAGCAUAAACAUUUAAAAAAAAUACCUUUUUAGGUUUAAGAGUUAACAAAAUUCUUGAAAAUUUCCAAAAAAGAAAUUAAAUCCUUUCGCGAAAAACUUGUUUCUUAGGUAAAUAAAGGAACUAGCAUUAACAUGAAAGAUUGCAUAACAAUAUGCAUACAAGGAUGUCCAUAAGCCUCUUUCAACAAACAUAACUUGAUGGCCUCAGGAGCUCAUUACAACAGAUAUUAUCCGAGGAGCUACAAAGAUGAAAAUGGCUCCCUAGUUUGCCAAGGCAUCAACACUCUGGUUUCUUUCCCUAAAGGUAUACAUGAUUUUUGAAUUCGAGAUCAUAGUUAGGAGCGUCUUGCAACCAAGAAAAUUGUUAGAAAUUACAGUGCUAGUCAUGAAGCUAAUAACAAUAGAUGCAUCAACUUCUACUUCUAAAUAAGAUAUAUUAAGGUAAACUGCUCGUCCCUUAAUGUCCAAAAUUCGACUUCUAAACUAUUAGCUUCUAGGAUAUGAACCAUUUCCCUUCAUGAUCCCGAAUGAAAGUACCUGCACUCCUUUUAAACAUAUUUAAUUAAACCUUCACACUUAGUAAUUACAUCAAUUAAAUUUUUUGACUAAUUAUCUCAAUCUUUGAUCAUGUUGAUAAUUUUUUUUACAUAGCAAUCCAUGUAGAUGAUUAUGUUGACAUGACAUUAUUUUGUUCCAUGUAGAUGAUUAUGUUGACAUGACAUUAUUUUGUUAUAUGUUAUGUUAGUAAAUAAUUUAAAAUUAAAAAAUUAUAAUAAUAAUUUAAAAAAUUAAUUCUAAAAAUUAUAAUUAAUUUAAAAUUUAAAAUUUAAAAUAUUAAAGAUAAUAAAAAAUUGGAUUUGACAAAUGCUUUCUCUCAAAAUAUAUAUAUAUAACAAAAUUAUUUAAAAAUUAUGUGUAAUUUAAAUAAAAAAUUGAUUGUGGUGAGUGUCGACUAUGACAAAGUGAGGUUUGACCUUGGGUUGGAAGCUAUGUGUGUGGAAUUUAAGCGGAUGUUUUGGGUGAUGACAAAUGGUGUAGAAAAAUCAGGAGGAUUUUUAACUCUUUUAAGUAAUUUUCCAUAUUUCAUAUUCAGAAUUUCUGAAUAUAUUAAGUAAGAAUUUAUAUUUAUUAAACUAUCAAAACCCAAUUUUUUUUUUUAUUUCUUCUUACGGUCGUUACUAGUUUUUCUUACAGUUGACCAUCACUUUUGAGUGUAUUUGAACCUUUACCCACCAAAAAAAGUCAAUUUUUCUACCCUUGUUGUUGUCCAUGUUUGCCUUCUUUAAUUUUCUUUUCCAAAUGGAACAAAGUUUGUAUUAAUUAUUUGAGUAAACUAUGUCUAAGGUUAUUAAACUAUUAGUAAAUUUAUAUUUUUGUCACUCAAAAAAAUUAUAAGGUAGUCACUAAACUAUUUGAAAGUUUUCAUUUAAGUCACUGGGUUAUUAAGAUCGUUGUUGUAUGACUUUUUCUGUUCGCAUGCCUACAUCAAUCGAAAACUCUUAAUCCUAUUCUCUUCUACAAUUUAGUUUUUUUUUCAUGAAACAAAUUUGAACGUCAUGAAUCUAUAAAUCAAAAUCCAAGCAAUUUUAUUUUUCAAUCUUUGACACUGGCCGUCAAAUCAACUUAGAUCUAAGAUAUGUUCAUCUACUUUUCAAUAAGUAUUGAUCUAUUGUACCGAUUAUCGAAUCGCCAUUUGGAGCUCUCUAGUCAGAUUUAAAAAAAAAACUUAACAGCCUAAUGACUUGGAUAAAAACGUUCAAACAGUUCAAUGAUUUAUAUGAAAAUUUUUGAAUAGUUCAAUGACUAUUUUGUAACAUUUUGAAGUUAAGUGACCAAAAUAUAAACUUACUAAUAGUUUUUAGUGACCUUGGGUGUAGUUUACCCUAAUUGUUUUGCAAGCGAUGAAAAAAAUUGUGUUGUGGUUGUUAUUAGCUAAUAAUUUUUCUCUAUGUUGAAGGGGUUGAGUAUUUUGGGAAAAGUUUUCAAAGUGUCAUUCAAUGGGUAGUCAACCAAACUCCCAAUAAUUUCAAGUAUUGUCCCCUAAUGGAGGUUUUGUAUCUUGUGUUUUACCUCGAGCUAAUGUGUCAUGAGUGGCUACCUAAGGGAUUUGGCUCACAAAUCUGAGUGCCUUAGUUGGUGGACCUAUAAGGCCCACAAGAUAGAUAUUAACAUAGGGUGUGAUAUAAUUAUACAAAUAUAACCUCACUUGCCUUAGGUUGGUGGUUCAAGUUCUCCUAGCUCAGGUAACUUCAUAUGACACCUCUCCUUUGAGCUUUGUAGAUCCACAUGCUAAAGUGCUCUCGGCUUUGUGAACCAAACCCAUCGGACAUGUUCUCACAGCAUGCUGGUUCUUGGCGAAGUACAGGAGACAAAACCCCCCAUCAAGGGACAAAAACUUUACAUUGUUAAAGUCUAAUCGUUUACUCUACGAAUGACAUUUCGAAGACUUCUCCUGAAGUAAUUACUCCCUCAACAUUUUACUUGCUUUAAUAUGGAAAUCUCUUGUUUUUGUUUUGUUUUGUAUCUGAAUAAGUUUAGUCCUUUGACAUAAGCAUAUAUACUAACUUAUAUAAUAUUUAAAAGGAAAAUAUUUGGUACACUACCAGUGAAGUUUUUAAACUCCAUGAGCAGGGUCAAUGUUGACAAGUGUACUAUAGGAAUAUAGUAAAUUACUAUAUAUAUUUAAAAAAAGAGACACAUGUCAAUUUUUUAAGUUUGCUUCUAUUAGUGUACCAAAUACACCUCCGAAGUUAGGAAGUGAAUUAAAAGCCAUAAAUAAUAUAUAUAAAAGCACG